GACGAACGCUGGCGGCGUGCUUAACACAUGCAAGUCGAACGGAAAGGCCUCUUUCGGGGGGUACUCGAGUGGCGAACGGGUGAGUAACACGUGAGUAACCUGCCCUUGACUUUGGGAUAACUUCAGGAAACUGGGGCUAAUACCGGAUAGGAGCUCCUGCUGCAUGGUGGGGGUUGGAAAGUUUCGGCGGUUGGGGAUGGACUCGCGGCUUAUCAGCUUGUUGGUGGGGUAGUGGCUUACCAAGGCCUUGACGGGUAGCCGGCCUGAGAGGGUGACCGGCCACAUUGGGACUGAGAUACGGCCCAGACUCCUACGGGAGGCAGCAGUGGGGAAUAUUGCACAAUGGGUGGAAGCCUGAUGCAGCAACGCCGUGGGCGGGAUGACGGCUUUCGGGUUGGAAACCGCUUUCGCUCAUGACGAAGCUUUGUGUGACGGUAGUGGGUAAAGAAGCACCGGCUAACUACGUG
rnacentral:rRNA from 1 species